UCACUUUACGUUACAAUCAAA
rnacentral:piRNA from 1 species